UAGAUGCUUCAUCACAGAACUAGAAGUGAGGAGGAGAGCGUGGACACCCCGGUCAUAAAGCACUAUUGGGAGCACGCCUAUUUAUAGCUGACUACCGCCACCACCACCACCCUGCAGGCUGAAAGUCACACCAGGAGAUUUUGGGAGUGAAGUCCUUGAGCUACUCUGUCAAUGCGAAGCAUUGCAGUGACAAGUUUGCAGAUGAGGUUGGUCACUGUGAAGACGCACUGCACCGUUCCCUACGCUAAAGCACAAGACUACAUCCUUCAAAGACAAAUAACUGAAACAUUUGCCAAGAGCCCUGCCUACUCCAUGAAUGAGGAAAAAGACACUGGAAAAGAAGGAAGGGUAACAGUA